GAUUUCUGCCCCAGUGAUCUGAUGUCAAAAUGAAGAAAUUCAAUGAAGCGCGGGUAAGCGAGAGGGAGUAACUAUGACUCUCUAAAGGUAGCCAGAAUGCCUCGUCAUCUAAUUAGAGACGCGCAUGAAUGGAU
rnacentral:ncRNA from 1 species